AUUGAACGCUGGCGGCAGGCUUAACACAUGCAAGUCGAGCGAGUGGCGGACGGGUGAGUAAUGUCUGGGAAACUGCCUGAUGGAGGGGGAUAACUACUGGAAACGGUAGCUAAUACCGCAUACCAUCAGAUGUGCCCAGAUGGGAUUAGCUGGUAGGUGGGGUAAUGGCUCACCUAGGCGACGAUCCCUAGCUGGUCUGAGAGGAUGACCAUCCCCACUGGAACUGAGACACGGUCCAGACUCCUCCUAGAAUCAUCACUUAAAAAUAUUGCACAAUUGGAGCAAGCCUGAUACAGCCAUGCCGCGUGUGUGAAGAAUUCCUUCGGGUUUUAAAGCACUUUCAGCGAGGAGGCGUUACUCGCAGAAGAAGCACCGGCUAACUCCGUGCCAGCAGCCGCGGUAAUUC
rnacentral:rRNA from 1 species